GAUGAACGCUGGCGGCGUGCCUAAUACAUGCAAGUCGAGCGAACGGACGAGAAGCUUGCUUCUCUGAUGUUAGCGGCGGACGGGUGAGUAACACGUGGAUAACCUACCUAUAAGACUGGGAUAACUUCGGGAAACCGUAGCUAAUACCGGAUAAUAUUUUGAACCGCAUGGUUCAAAAGUGAAAGACGGUCUUGCUGUCACUUAUAGAUGGAUCCGCGCUGCAUUAGCUAGUUGGUAAGGUAACGGCUUACCAAGGCAACGAUGCAUAGCCGACCUGAGAGGGGUGAUCGGCCACCCGGGACCUGAGACCCGGCCCGACCCCCAAGGGGAGGCACCGUAAGGAAUUCUCCGGAAUGGGGCGAAGGCCUGCCGGGCAAAGCCGGCGGAAGUAUGAAGGGCCUCCGAUUCUUAAACCUCUUUUUUAGGGAAGAACAUAUGUGUAAGUAACUGUGCACAUCUUGACGGUACCUAAUCAGAAAGCCACGGCUAACUACGUG
rnacentral:rRNA from 1 species